rnacentral:lncRNA from 1 species
GCUAGUUCAUGAAAAGGUAUGCUGUAAUGCUGAAAUAAUGUUUAUGCAGUAAUGCUAUUAAAUAGGUAAGGUUCAUGUUCCAGUAUCCAUCAUUGAGGAAGAAGUUAUGGCUAACGUCUUUGACAACUAGGUACCCAACUGAAUAUCUAUCAACUAAUGAAGCAUGGAUAAAGGUUCAACUACUUCCAUAACCAAAUGGAAGUGCUUACAAUCUUGUUCUAGGCAGAAGACAGCGUUGUUACAUUGGAGGUUGCAACCAACGGACAAACAAAAUCAGUUAACGUGAUUCACAGCUUUGAGAAAAAGUGACAUCGUGGAAUCCAAAUGUGCCGUGAAACUAUAAGGGUACGUUUAGGACAACAGUUUUGUUUUUUUUUUUCUAUUUUUAAAGAAAAUUAUAGUUUUUAUCUUUUUACAGAAAAUAAGAAAAAAUAUAUAUAUAAAAACUUGUUUUUGCCUGCAAUAAUAAAAAAUGUUUUCUAAGUAAAAAAAAUCAUAACUUUCCAUAUUAAAUUGUUUAAAAUUAUAUCUAAAAACUUAGUUGCUUUACUUUUAAAAAUUUUUACCUUGUAAGAACAUAAUUAAUUUUAUAACUGUAGAUCAAUAUCUUUUGAUUUAACGGUUGAAUAUAACUGAUAGAAAUCGGUUGAAUAUGAUUGGCUCAAUUCUUUGUGGAUCCUACCUUUUUUUAAGCCUUGUAAUUGAUCAUACCUUUUAUUUUUCUCAAUUGUGUUUGACAGAUAAUUUUUGUAAUAAUUUAAGGGAUGCCAAAUCCUUAUAUGUCUAAAAAUAGAACGUGUUUUUUUUAUAAAAUAAGAUCCAAAAGUAAAAUGUAAUAAAGCCAUUAGUCCAAUAGACCAAUAGAAUGGAUGCAUUUAGAUCUUCUAAAUUUUGAUGUUCAAAAAGAAAGAAAGGAAAGGGUCUGUUUCCUGAGGCUGCUGUUAUGGCAGUCAAGAAAGGUAAGACCGGCAUAACUUGUUUUCAGUGUGGCAAAUCUGGUCAUGUCAAGGCUCAAUGCUAUAGACUCAUUGGAUUUCCAGCGGAUUUUAAGGUCACAGAGUCAAGAAGUGGUGCACCAUCUAGAAAUAAUUCUAACCAUUUGUCAAGAUCUUCUGUUCAACAGGUAUCUUCUGCUAGUAAUGAGACUACAAGUCAAUUGAAUCUUUCCAAGGAACAACUCCAAAAACUCAUGACUCUUCUCAAUGAUCAAAAUUCAAAAAGUAUCAAUACUUCCUCUUCUCCUCCUCCUCAAAACUCACAAGUUAAUGCAGC